GUAGGGAAUCUUUCACAAUGGGCGAAAGCCUGAUGGAGCAACGCCGCGUGCAGGAUGAAGGCCUUCGGGUUGUAAACUGCUUUUAUAAGCGAGAAAUAUGAUGGUAACUUAUGAAUAAGGAUCGGCUAACUACGUGCCAGCAGCCGCGGUCAUACGUAGGAUCCGAGCAUUAUCCGGAGUGACUGGGUGUAAAGAGUUGCGUAGGUGGCAUAAUAAGUAGCUAGUGAAAUCUGGUGGCUCAACCAUUCAGACUAUUAGCUAAACUGUUAAGCUCGAGACCGUUAGGGGUAACUGGAAUUUCUAGUGUAGGAGUGAAAUCCGUAGAUAUUAGAAAGAACACCGAUAGCGUAGGCAGGUUACUGGGACGGUUCUGACACUAAGGCACGAAAGCGUAGGGAGCAAACGGGA
rnacentral:rRNA from 1 species